UCUCCUGACCUCGUGAUCUGCCCGCCUCGGCCUCCCAAAGUGCUGGGAUUACAGGCGUGAGCCACUGUGCCUGGCCUGAAUUUUUUAUAAGUAAGUUAUAGGUAUCAUGACAUCUCACACCAAAAUACUUGAGCAUACAUCAUCACGGAGGAUUCUCUCUGAAGUGUUGAAGGUUGUGUGUAUCGUCCGCAUUGCUGAAGGAAGGCUUCAAGGUGUUGUGCAUAUGAGCUCUGUCAUUUCUCAGCUGACUGAGUCCAGUUGUUUCCAAGCAGAAAUUCAUCAGGACAUUACCAUCACUCAUGAGGAGAAAGUGUUGGGUGGAACCAAAGACGGUCUUAGCUGUAUUUGAAACAUUUCUGAUUCUUCUGGAAACAGGAAAGCAAACAGCCCAUGAACUAAAUUCUCAAAAGACACUAAAUCGGAAAGUGUUAUAAGCACUAAUGAUGCCAGACAGAAAAAUGCAAAACACUUGGAGGAGUCAGAAAUUCACCUGAGAGUCCGGGCGCGGUGGCUCACGCCUGUAAUCCCAGCACUUUGGGAGGCCAAGGCAGGCGGAUCACUUGAGGUCAGGAGUUCAAGACCAACCUGGCCCAAUAUGGUGAAACCCCAUCUCUACUGAAAAAACACAAAAAAAUUAGCCAGGCGUGGUGGCGCGUGCCUGCAAUCCCAGCUACUCAGGAGGCUGAGGCCGGAGAAUCCCUUGAACCCGGGAGGCGGAGGUUGCAGUGAGCCGAGUUCAUGCCACUGCACUCCAGCCUGAGAGUAAAACUCCGUCUCAAAAAAAAAAAAAAAAAGAAAAGAAAAAGAAAUUCACCUGAAAAAUGCAAGUUCUUAAUUCUGAAAUAAAAAACUGUUUAAAGCAUUAGUAGUUACAGAGUGGUUGGGCACAAUAUUACUUUGAACAGGUAAAACAAUAGAACACCAUGUCUGCAGAUUUAUUUAUUCAGCUAAAAAACAGUUAUAGUUAUUGCGCCAUCAUGUGAAGAAUAGGAAGCUAGACUCAGGGAGUGGGUAGGCUGCUGUGAUGUACAGAUACUCCCCUCCACUAGGGCAGGACUGAUCUGGAAGUGCGUCAACCCCCGAGAGAACAUCUGGGAAGCCUGGUUGAAAAGCUUUGGCUCAUUUAUGCAGGGUAAGAGAGAAUUUUUCAAUAGGCAAAAUGUAUGGAAAGCAGGUAUCAUUCCACUUGCUCUGUGCGUAGCUGCUGGGAUCAGGAUGGGCUGACUGCACAUGUUCCGGACAAGAUGGUGGGCCAGGUGGGUGGUGCAAAGGUCUACCAGCUCAGUGAUUCCGCCAAACGAAAGAAAAGCAGGCAAAAAUGAGUGAUAGCAGGUGCCAGAAUAUUCAGCCUGUCUCAGUCAAUGAACGAAAUGUGUUUCCCAUUUUAAGCACAGCCUAAGGGAGAAGUUAACAACUAGAAACCAAGGCCUGAUAGAUUCCCAGCCUGUGCACGGUGGAGCUACACGGGCACCUACCUGACUUCCUACACAUCGAGAGGAAAGCUUUCUUAUCCGUACCCCAAGUGCGCAUCUGCCCGCCUUUGAAUCAUUAAACACCACCCCUCCCUUCGCCACCCCUUUCCUCACACCAUGGAGUUCAUAACACCAAGCAUCGCCUUCUCUUCUCCUGACACUGACACCACAAGAAAAGGAAGUCUAUGUUGACGGCACAGAGAUGAAAAUUGCCUCCAUCAUUCUGAGUGUAGGAACAUGUUUUCUUCCCAGAUCGCCCCCUCUUUGGAAGAACACAAUCUCUUCUAAGCUCCCUCCUCCAGCCUAACCCCUGGCCCUGAAGCCCAGGAUCUGCUGAUCAAACACAUGAGCUCACUGCAGCUUAUAUAAGAGCUCUUGGCAGGCCUUCCCAGAGAUGGAUGCUGGGCUAGGUCUCUGCACACUUGUGCUUGCCUCGCCUAGGCAACAUGACUUUUUGUUUCUCUAUCUCCUCAGAACAGAGAGGCCUAUUUGUACUACUGUUCAUCAGUCGUUUUGUAGUAGGGAAGAGGAAGCACAAAGUUUCUUCCUAUUUCCCAGUGAUUAAAAGUGGCCCAACUUCCUAAGGGGGAAAAUAAGAAUUCAAAAGACAAAGCUCACUUGAAUGUGCUGAGCCCCCUUCACUUGGCUGUUUUCUGUGAUGGGGCCACACCGCUGUGGGUCACCACAGGGGAGCAAGGAUAGAAACAGAGUGGGAGCUGGGGGCCACGCCUGUGUGACAUUUCGGAAGACUCCAGCUCAAAGGUCCUUUCUGAGAUGUUUGUGAGCAGGGACUAGGGCAGAGGGAAAGACAAAAUAUUAGGUUGGAGCAAAAGUAAUUGCUGUUUUGCUUAUACUCUUAAUGGCAAAAACUGUAAUUACCUUUGCACCAACCUAAUCGAUGAGAAUUCCCAUCUUCCCCCAAAGGGGAAAUAAAAGGACAUUUAGGGAAAUCUGUCAGAUAGUCUCAAAGGUAGGUCAUCUGCAAGAAAUCCAUCCUGCCUCCGACUGACUUGGUGAGAAGUCCCAUCCAUUCCCAGACUCCAUUUUCUUAAAGGAGAAGAGAAACUUCUGGAAACCGCACUCAGGAACUCAGAGAAACGAGAAAAGAGAAAAAGCAAGGAAAAGCCAUUCAUGAGCCCAACUUCCAAAUUCAGUGGAUAUUUUGCAUGGCUCCCAAGAGGAGAAGGGACGGCUGUAUGACAGGAUUUGUUUCUCCUACUGCCACUGACGAAAGGAAAGGAAACGCAUGAGGCCCUUUGCAGUGCCCAGCUCCCUUCUGCUGCCUCAGUCACUCCAGGCCUGGGGCUCUGAGGCAGGGCCAGGGAAGGAAGACGCAGGCCUUAGCUGUGGCCAUUCUCAUUCUCUUUCCUGAGCUUCGAAGCCACAUCCUGAGGGCACUUCCUACCCACACAUCCUCGUCCAGGGAAAUGUGCUCAUCUCCCUCCGCUCAGCACUGGACUUCUCUCGCAAGGCCAGUUCUGGUGCCUCCCUUCAUACCAACUGGCAAUAGGGAUGUGGGCAAGUCAUACUACAGCUCACUUUCCCCACAUGUAAAAUGGGGCUGGAUAGGGUGAUUCACACACUUACUAAUGGAUUCAUCAGUGAAUAUUUUGUUUUUAAAGAAUGUCUAUCUGGGCUGGGCGUGGUGGCUCAUGCCUGUAAUCUUAGCACUUUGGGAGGCCGAGGCGAGAGGAUCACCUGAGGUCAAGUGUUCAAGACCAGCCUGGCCAAUGUGGUGAAACCCUAUCUCUACUAAAAAUGCAAAAAUUAGGUGGGUGUGGUGACGCGUGCCUGUAGCCUGUAAUCUCAGCUACUGGGGAGGCUGAGGCAAGGAGAAUGGCGUGAACCUGGGAGGUGGAGCUUGCAGUGAGCCGAGAUUGCACCACUGCACUCCAGCCUGGGCAAUAAAGCGAGACUCCUUCUCAAGAAAAAAAAGAAUGUCUAUCUGGGCUGGGCACAGUGGCUCACACCUGUAAUCCUAGCACUUUGGGAGCCGAGGCGGGAGGAUUACCUGAGGUCAGGAGUUCAAGACCAGCCUGGCCAACAUAGUGAAACACCAUCUCUACUAAAAAUACAAAAAUUAGCUGGGCGUAGUGACUCACGCCUGUAAUCCCAGCUACUCAGGAGGCUGAGGCAGGAGAAUCGUCUGAGCCCAAGAGGCAGAGGUUGCAGUGAGCUGAGAUCUCGCCACUACACUCAAGCCUGGGCAACAGAAAGAGACUCCGUCUCAAAAAAAAAAAAAAAAAAAAAGAAUGUCAAUCUGUCAGGCACUGCACCCUAAUCUCUCAAUAUGUCACAAUGCAGUUCUAUUACUUUUUCUCCAUCUUUUCCCAUCACAUUCUGCUUUUCUCAACCUCUACCCACACCCAGAGCCUGCUUCUUCAGCUUUUUUCUUUUAUUUUCAUAUUUUUCUUCACUCUCUGCACCCUCCCCCACCCCAGCAUGGUUCUAUUUUUAGAAUGUUCAUACAUAAAAUCAGAGGAUUAGAAAAGGGUUUUAAGGGGCCAUCUGCCCACUUUGUUACCUCCAGGCAAACCUGUGCUUACAAGGCCCAGGAAAGAUCAGAGGGCAUACUCCAAGCCCAAUUUCAGGAUGCACUCCAGCGUCUCACAACUUCUUCCAUUAGAAAAUGGCCUCAAUGUCUAACUUAAACCCCUCCGUUCAAUACUACUCUCCUUUUUCUCUUUACCUCUUGAGUCACAUCACAGACAUAAAGCACCUUUGUGAGAGAGAACUGUGGGGAAGUUUAACGCAUAGUGACAUAGUGGAACAUCCCAGGCCAUAACAACCAUAGUUUCAAUGUAAAACCAGAUCCAGGAACACAGAAUGGACUAGAGGCUAUGGCAGUUAGCUGGAUUGGGCUUCUGUAAAAUUAACAAAGACAGAACAAAUAGCAAAAAACCAACAAGCACAACCCUACCGGACUCACAGUUUCUAACAAACUAUCUCAAUUAACAUGAAAAGUCCACGGAGCAAGGAGUUCUAAAAUCAUAGCCCCCUUAGGUUGGAAAGGCCCUUCCUUAGAUGUUAUCAAGUCCAACCUUUUAUGCAGAGUUGGCAGCCAGCAUAGCACAAAGUCUGUCUCUGCUGAUUACAGCUGAAUAACAAAUGGCGGUCAGUCAUUCAGUACUGGUUCUUCCAUCAGCAUAUAAAAAAUUCCUUCAAAGCAACUCUCCCAGGACCCUGGAUAGGAGACAAGGCAGGUGUUCACCUGGACAGGGCCUGAUGCUCCAGAUGUUGCCCUUUUUGGUCUGUGCUAACCUGCUGAGGUAGUCUACAGUCUUAAUAGAGACAGUGUGGUCUAGUGUGUAGGUCACUUGACAAGGAGGCAGAUUUCAAAACGUGCCGCAUUUUCUUUCUUCCUUCUUCAGAUGGCAAGAGGCAGACAACUCAACUAAAGAGAAGAGGAUUUACAGCAAGUUGCUGACCCAGCUUACAGCACAGCUGUCCUCUUCCAUAGAAUGGGAAGAAGUUUUAUGCUUUUAUGCUUCUCUGUACCAUCAACCUCAAAGUUCGAAAACAAGUAAGAACCUUCUAUCUUGGGGAAAUCUGGCAAAUGCUCCAUAGAGGCUGCUGUGGAAGGGAAUCAUUCCACAUCCCAUGUUAGGAUAAGGCCUGAAACCCUGCCUGGGAAAACAAGAGCAGCACACGGAGUGGGCUUCAGUCCUGUCUCAUUUACAGGGUCUUGAACACAUCCUAUAGGCUUCUGGGACCUGUUUUUCUGUAUCUGUCAAACAAGGGGGUGCUCUAACGACCUUCCUGCUGUAGCGAUCUUGCUUCACCUUGGGUAAAUGCCACAGCCAUAGGAGAGGAGGUAGGGUCUUUGUCCUCAUGGGUCUCCCACCAGGCCCAAGGUUUCUCCAAGCCCUGCUGACCCAGGAGGGCCACUCCUAGCCCCUCUGCCAAGAAUCUACUUUCCUUCCCUCAUUGACUGAUCAUGCUCAGAAAUCAGCUAAUUUGGGGGUGGGGGGCAUCCAACAUGAAAGAAACACCACAAAGAAACUCUUAGGUAAGCUCUCCACCUCUACACACACCCAUACACAUACACUGACACAGACACAUACAGGAACCCUGAAAUAUAAGUAUUUUCCCUUCCAUGUAUCAAACCUCUUUUGCCCUCUUGAAUUGCCAGUGUGCUGGGAGAGAAUUCAGUCCCACAGCGGAGAAGCACUGCUUCCACUUAUGGAACUCAGCUAAACCUCAGUGUUUAGGGAUGACCCUGGGCACAGGUUGAAGCUAAAGGUCCUAACACACCUCCAUUGCAGUGCAGAAAUGCAGACUUUACCAGCCAUGAUUGGGGCAGUAGCUAACUAAAAGCACAGGACCAGGAUCCAGAUCCUUCCUUUCUUGCUCUUCCACUUCCACUGCCUCCCCCACCCUAGAUGUGUUAUUCUGUAACAGUGGUCGCCUGCUCGAGACUGCUCAUCUGCCUGCAUAGAGUGCCGUGGACUUGCUCUGUAAUGCACUGUAUAUGUGUAUGUCCUGACUCUGUGGUUUACUGCAAAUAAAAAUGACAGCAGGUGGCUGA